rnacentral:rRNA from 1 species
AUUGAACGCUGGCGGCAGGCCUAACACAUGCAAGUCGAACGAGUGGCGGACGGGUGAGUAAUGUCUGGGAAACUGCCUGAUGGAGGGGGAUAACUACUGAAAACGGUAGCUAAUACCGCAUACCAUCAGAUGUGCCCAGAUGGGAUUAGCUUGUGGGUGGGGUAACGGCUCACAAAGGCGACGAUCCCUAGCUGGUCUGAGAGGAUGACCAGCCACACUGGACCUAAGACACGGUGCAGACUCCUACGGGAGGCAGCGGUGGGAAAUAUUGGACAAGGGGGGCAGGCCUGAUGCAGCCAUGCCGCGUGUAUGAAGAAGGCCUUCGGGUUGUAAAGUACUUUCAGCGGGGAGACGUUACCCGCAGAAGAAGCGCCGGCUAACUCCGUGCCAGCAGCCGCGGUAAUAC